UCAAGUGAAGAAGCGCAUACGGUGGAUGCCUUGGCAGUCAGAGGCGAUGAAAGACGUGGUAGCCUGCGAAAAGCUUCGGGGAGUCGGCAAACAGACUGUGAUCCGGAGAUGUCUGAAUGGGGGAACCCAGCCAUCAUAAGAUGGUUAUCUUACACUGAAUACAUAGGUGUAAGAGGCGAACCAGGGGAACUGAAACAUCUAAGUACCCUGAGGAAAAGAAAUCAACCGAGAUUCCCUUAGUAGUGGCGAGCGAACGGGGACCAGCCCUUAAGUUGUAUUGAGAUUAGCGGAACGCUCUGGAAAGGGCGGCCAUAGUGGGUGAUAGCCCUGUACGCGAAAAUCCCUUUGCAAUGAAAUCGAGUAGGACGGGGCACGAGAAACCUUGUCUGAAUAUGGGGGGACCAUCCUCCAAGGCUAAAUACUACUGACUGACCGAUAGUGAACCAGUACCGUGAGGGAAAGGCGAAAAGAACCGCGGAGAGCGGAGUGAAAUAGAUCCUGAAACCGUAUGCGUACAAGCAGUGGGAGCCCACUUUGUUGGGUGACUGCGUACCUUUUGUAUAAUGGGUCAGCGACUUAUUUUCAGUGGCGAGCUUAACCGAAUAGGGGAGGCGUAGCGAAAGCGAGUCUUAAUAGGGCGUCUAGUCGCUGGGAAUAGACCCGAAACCGGGCGAUCUAUCCAUGGGCAGGUUGAAGGUUGGGUAACACUAACUGGAGGACCGAACCGACUACCGUUGAAAAGUUAGCGGAUGACCUGUGGAUCGGAGUGAAAGGCUAAUCAAGCUCGGAGAUAGCUGGUUCUCCUCGAAAGCUAUUUAGGUAGCGCCUCAUGUAUCACUGUAGGGGGUAGAGCACUGUUUCGGCUAGGGGGUCAUCCCGACUUACCAAACCGAUGCAAACUCCGAAUACCUACAAGUGCCGAGCAUGGGAGACACACGGCGGGUGCUAACGUCCGUCGUGAAAAGGGAAACAACCCAGACCGUCAGCUAAGGUCCCAAAGUCAUGGUUAAGUGGGAAACGAUGUGGGAAGGCUUAGACAGCUAGGAGGUUGGCUUAGAAGCAGCCACCCUUUAAAGAAAGCGUAAUAGCUCACUAGUCGAGUCGGCCUGCGCGGAAGAUGUAACGGGGCUCAAACCAUGCACCGAAGCUACGGGUAUCAUCUUUUGAUGAUGCGGUAGAGGAGCGUUCUGUAAGCCUGUGAAGGUGAGUUGAGAAGCUUGCUGGAGGUAUCAGAAGUGCGAAUGCUGACAUGAGUAACGACAAUGGGUGUGAAAAACACCCACGCCGAAAGACCAAGGUUUCCUGCGCAACGUUAAUCGACGCAGGGUUAGUCGGUCCCUAAGGCGAGGCUGAAAAGCGUAGUCGAUGGAAAACAGGUUAAUAUUCCUGUACUUCUGGUUAUUGCGAUGGAGGGACGGAGAAGGCUAGGCCAGCCUGGCGUUGGUAGUCCAGGUUUAAGGUGGUAGGCUGAGAUCUUAGGUAAAUCCGGGAUCUUAAGGCCGAGAGCUGAUGACGAGUGUUCUUUUAGAACAUGAAGUGGUUGAUGCCAUGCUUCCAAGAAAAGCUUCUAAGCUUCAGGUAACCAGGAACCGUACCCCAAACCGACACAGGUGGUUGGGUAGAGAAUACCAAGGCGCUUGAGAGAACUCGGGUGAAGGAACUAGGCAAAAUGGCACCGUAACUUCGGGAGAAGGUGCGCCGGUGAGGGUGAAGCAUUUACUGCGUAAGCCCACGCCGGUCGAAGAUACCAGGCCGCUGCGACUGUUUAUUAAAAACACAGCACUCUGCAAACACGAAAGUGGACGUAUAGGGUGUGACGCCUGCCCGGUGCCGGAAGGUUAAUUGAUGGGGUUAGCGCAAGCGAAGCUCUUGAUCGAAGCCCCGGUAAACGGCGGCCGUAACUAUAACGGUCCUAAGGUAGCGAAAUUCCUUGUCGGGUAAGUUCCGACCUGCACGAAUGGCGUAACGAUGGCGGCGCUGUCUCCACCCGAGACUCAGUGAAAUUGAAAUCGCUGUGAAGAUGCAGUGUAUCCGCGGCUAGACGGAAAGACCCCGUGAACCUUUACUAUAGCUUUGCACUGGACUUUGAAUUUGCUUGUGUAGGAUAGGUGGGAGGCUUUGAAGCGUGGACGCCAGUCUGCGUGGAGCCAACCUUGAAAUACCACCCUGGCAACUUUGAGGUUCUAACUCAGGUCCGUUAUCCGGAUCGAGGACAGUGUAUGGUGGGUAGUUUGACUGGGGCGGUCUCCUCCUAAAGAGUAACGGAGGAGUACGAAGGUGCGCUCAGACCGGUCGGAAAUCGGUCGUAGAGUAUAAAGGCAAAAGCGCGCUUGACUGCGAGACAGACACGUCGAGCAGGUACGAAAGUAGGUCUUAGUGAUCCGGUGGUUCUGUAUGGAAGGGCCAUCGCUCAACGGAUAAAAGGUACUCCGGGGAUAACAGGCUGAUACCGCCCAAGAGUUCAUAUCGACGGCGGUGUUUGGCACCUCGAUGUCGGCUCAUCACAUCCUGGGGCUGAAGCCGGUCCCAAGGGUAUGGCUGUUCGCCAUUUAAAGUGGUACGCGAGCUGGGUUUAGAACGUCGUGAGACAGUUCGGUCCCUAUCUGCCGUGGACGUUUGAGAUUUGAGAGGGGCUGCUCCUAGUACGAGAGGACCGGAGUGGACGAACCUCUGGUGUUCCGGUUGUCACGCCAGUGGCAUUGCCGGGUAGCUAUGUUCGGAAAAGAUAACCGCUGAAAGCAUCUAAGCGGGAAACUUGCCUCAAGAUGAGAUCUCACUGGAACCUUGAGUUCCCUGAAGGGCCGUCGAAGACUACGACGUUGAUAGGUUGGGUGUGUAAGCGCUGUGAGGCGUUGAGCUAACCAAUACUAAUUGCCCGUGAGGCUUGACCAU
rnacentral:rRNA from 3 species